GCACAGCUGAGGAGUCCCACAAUAGGAUGAAACGGCCGUACAGUGC
rnacentral:hammerhead_ribozyme from 1 species